rnacentral:lncRNA from 1 species
CUUUCGCAUAUCCAAAUUGCCAGCAUCACCGCUCUUGCACUCCAAGCCAUUAUUAAGUAAAGUAAAGAACACAAACACUGUGAUACUGCUACACUUGAUCUGAUAACCAAGAAGUCUACUAAGUGACUAACAGUUAAUAUUUUUGGACAUGAGGUGACUGCAGUUAACUAAAACCAUGGAAAGCAAACCCAUAGAUAAAGGGAUACUAUGAGCAACUGGGAACCUAAUUCUGACCAAAAAGGAGGAAUUGUUUGGCUAAUUGGAAGUGACAGAAACCUUGGGAGAAAGCAACCGCAUACCAAGGAUAAUUAUAAGAAGGUAACAUGGGCCCUAAAGGAUAGUGUCAAGAAACCUGAAACCCCCAAAUGAG